rnacentral:RNase_P_RNA from 1 species
UGAGUAGAACAGAUAAUCGCGGCUGCAAAUGCCGAAAGGCUGCAGGUGAGGAAAGUCCGGGCUUCACAGGGCAGGAUGCCGGAUAACGUCCGGUAGAGGCGACUCUAAGGAAAGUGCAACAGAAAUAUACCGCCGCAUUUAUGCGGUAAGGUUGGAAUGGCAGUGUAAGAGACUACCGCCCGCCUGGCAACAGGCGGGGCAUCUGUAAACCCCAUCCGAAGCAAGACCGAACAAAAGCGUUGACGUGGCCCGCCAGCUUUAGGUAGGUCGCUAAAAAGCGGCUGGCGACAGCCCUUUUAGACAGAUGAUUAUCCAAUGACAUAACCCGGCUUACCGUUCUGCUCAAUUA